rnacentral:lncRNA from 1 species
AGAUUAUAAAAACAAGUUCAAGGCACCGACGGACUUCUGCUUUAUCCUCAAGCAUCCACAGCUCCAGAAGGAGUCCCAGUACAUCAAGUACCUCUGCUGCGAUGAUGAGGCGACGAUGGCCCUCUGGGUAACCUCAAUUCGGGUUGCAAAGUACGGAGUGACUCUUUAUAACAACUACAUGACUGCCUUGAAAAGAAGCACUGCCUUGUCUAGCUGCUGGACAAACCGGGUGUCUGGCUCCAAUACGUCAGUGUCAUCCACUGCCCUCAAAGUGAGAAUCCACCCCUUACUGACAAAAAUGCCAAGCUAAAUUACCAACAUUUAGGAAGUGUGCUAUAAUGUGGUUAUAACUAACUAAUGUGCUAUCCCCUCCUCAGCCGCAUCCCAAGGUGAAACUGCUCCAAAGGCCAAUGGCCACACCCCUCGGGCUCCUUCCCAAGCCACACCCCCAAAACCGGCCAUCUCAAAAUUUCCCUAAACAGUGUGAAAUCAAGGUUAACAAUGGCGGAUCCUGCCUGCCACCCCCUUCAACCACAGAUGAAAUCCUGCCACCUCCACCACCUGAUCCCUUCCUGCCCCCACCACCACCUGAUCCCUUCUUGCCCCCACCACCACCUGAUCCCACCCUACCCCCACCACCACCAGAACCCACACUGCCUCCCCCACUGCCAUCCCCCACCAAGUCUCACCCUUCUGUCCAGCCACUGAAACUGCCCCCACCUUCAACAGUUGAGGACAGAUGGCUGCCACCUCCUCCAGACGACUUCCUGGAACCACCCCCUGACUUCAUCCCGCCUCCACCUCCAGCACACAUGAAGGCCCCCCGUUCUCCGGGAACGAAUCCUGUCCCGGGACAGAAAAAAGUGGCUCCUCCCCCGCCAAAGAGGACCACACCUGUGGCUACAGCACCUACUGAUGGAGAUAUGAUGUCAGAACUCAUGAAGGCCAUGCAGAAGAAAAGCAGGCCAGUGAUGUCUAGACAGAGCAACAGCCACACCGUUGGCUUAAUAACUUAUUGAUAGUGAAAUAAUGAAUAGAAAAUAGUAGAGUUUCUCCAAUCUUGGAGGACUGCAUCAAACAGGGGGAAAAACAAGAAAAAAAAAAAAAAAACUGGUAAAGAGCUUGAAGCAGGAAAUGGUGGCGUCA